UACGUAGGGACCAAGCGUUGUUCGGAUUUACUGGGCGUAAAGGGUGCGUAGGCGGCGUGUCAAGUCAGUUGUGAAAUCUCUGAGCUUAACUCAGAACGGUCAACUGAUACUGUCAUGCUAGAGUGCAGAAAGGGCAAUCGGAAUUCUUGGUGUAGCGGUGAAAUGCGUAGAUAUCAAGAGGAACACCUGAGGCGAAGGCGGGUUGCUUGGCUGACACUGACGCUGAGGCACGAAAGCUAGGGUAGCAAACGGG
rnacentral:rRNA from 2 species